rnacentral:lncRNA from 1 species
AUUGUGCUGACUUGAGAUUUUUUUAUGGCUAGAUUUUAAAAAUAUAGUGACAGUCAUUAGUGCAGUAAUAUACUUUAAAUACUAGUACUGCUCAAGUCGACACUAGGGACCAUAUUGACCUAGUUUUACGGAAUUCAUGAUUCUUUCAUUAUUGAAGACCCUCCAGCAACUAUCAAGAAGAAGAACAGGAAUAAAAACUUUGACCAUUGAUCAUUUGUAUUUUUUUCUAUACAUUGACAUUGUGUGCGAUUAGCUCCCGUGCACGUGUACUUCAUAUUCCUUUAUUUUCUGUUAAAGGGUCUGAACACGACUUAAUGCAAAUUUAACCCUUGAAUGUAAAAGGUCAUAUGGCAAUACAUUGAUGUUUUUUUUCAACAAAUGAUUUGAUACCGGGAAAUUGGUGGUUUUACUUUAAUUUAAACCAUGUCAGCUAUCUAGUUUUAUCCACAGGCGUUUUGGUAUAUGAUACAGUUAUUUUUUUUUUUUGUUGAUUAAGAUAUUCAAUUUUCUAUAUUUAUAAUACAUAUCUAUCACUUCUGUGCAUAUCUCACCUACAGAAAAUACCUAAUUUUGCAAUCCAUACUAAGAAAAAUUGGGUAUGGUUUUA